ACAAGAUCUAGACCAGCAAGACACAGGCAAAUACCUUGGUGAAUUCUUCCAUAUCUAAGGAACACAAUUCAUUUAUAUAAUGCUCUUGAAGUGGAUAAAAUCCCAAAAUUCUAAAAAGGAAGGCAAACUAUGAAAAACUGAUUUUGAAAAAUAGCCUCUAGGGCGCCUGGGUGGCUCAGUGGGUUAAGCCGCUGCCUUCGGCUCAGGUCAUGAUCUCAGGGUCCUGGGAUCGAGUCCCGCAUCGGGCUCUGCUCAGCGGGGAGCCUGCUUCCUCCUCUCUCUCUGCCUUCCUCUCUGCCUACUUGUGAUCUCUCUCUGUUGAAUAAAUAAAUAAAAUCUUUAAAAAAAAAAAAAAGAAAGAAAAAUAGCCUCUAAAGGAUUCAGAUUUUAUUACUCCCCAAAUUACAGAAAGGACCAGUGACCACCUCCAUGGGAAUAAGCCUGAACCACUGUUUUUGCACUAAUAGGAGCUGAUGGGUUGACUGAGGGUCAGUUCAUAGCAGUUGACUAGCACCUAUGAAGGAACGUUUACUUGCUGUCUUGAGACAGACUGUAGGCGCUCUACCAUAGCAAGUGGUAACACACACACAAAAUCUAUGACUUGCAACAAAAGAUGGCAGGGAAGACUUGCAAGCAUACUAUGGUAAGGUUGUUAUGCUGUAUGUGAGGUGGUGUAGUGUAUUUCAAGGUAGGCUGUAACAAAUUUUAGAUUAUAAAUCCUUGGGUGACAGCUAGACAUAGUUUUAAAGGAAAAAUAAUAGAGGUAAAAUAUACAUCAGAAAUUACAUUUUUGGCAACUUUUAUACUCCUGGUAACAUUUUUCAGAUGUCACAUUUUUUUCAAAAUUCCUUUGAAGUGCAGAUGAGGAAGAAUUUGGCUGCAAGCCCUAGUGCAGAGAGGCAAGCAGUAUGAUGUCGAGGCAGCUCUGUGUAGACAUGGGGAUGAAAUAAGAGGGGGUGAAAGAGUGAAGGGUAAGGGAUACUUUCUUAUAUCCUCAUCCCCAUUCUAGGAUAUCCUAGGAGCCAAAAACACAAUGGGGGAAUAAGCAGAGUUACUAGAAACAAGCAAGUAAGAUUGGAAAAAAAUCUAGAGUACAAAGACUUGUUCCUUCCCUUGCAGGAGGCAGUAGCUUAAGAAGAUUUAAGUAUUGGUCCCAGAGCAACACAAGUUGACCACAGUGCAAGAGAAGUGGUGCGAAAUGCAGUUGGGUAGGGACUGGAUUGGUGAGACCCUCUUCCACCCCUCCCUGGCCUAAGGAGUUGGUUGGCAGAAAACCCCCAGUUCUCAUAUGGCCCUCGGGGGAUGCAGAAGAUGGCUAAAGAGGAAGAGGCAGCAGUACUCCUGACCGGAUGGGAGUGACCAAAGCUCCAGGAUCAGUCCUCACACACUGGUGAUGUUGAGACCUCAGACCACUCAUUAUAAUCUGCACAAAAGACUUGGUUGUGCCUGAAAACUAGGAGACUCAAGUCAUACCUCUACUACUGUCAAGAGAAAGCUUGCAGAAAAGAAAAAAGACAAGGAAGACUCUUCAUUCACAUCUUGCCUGCACCCAGAUGGCUCCAGCAGGGUGAAGGAGAAUGAGAACAAGGAGAAACUCUGGAAGAAGAUUUCAAGCAAAAGAGACUAAGGAUUAAUUGAACCUUUUCUGCACUCCAUUGAAAUGGAUCAUGGGAAUCUGGAUCUAGGUAUUCCUACUGUUUCUUAGUUGCUCUGUUUCUGACCCUGGGGUAACCAGGAACCUCACCGAGAUCAAGCACCUACCUUGCCAUUUACAAUCUCUAAUCCAAUGGCAUCUACUUUGGCGCUGCUGAUCCCCAGAAGGACACCGUUUUCAGAGGUGGUACGAAAUUCCAGUGUGAUGUUUACAUCUGAUCGGACUUUGUAGCCUUCCUUCACUGAAGAAUACAAAGGUAACCUCCAGUUAGGGGUGAGCCUGGCCCAAGAAGGCUCAGGGUCAAAGAGGUCAUGGGCUGGCUGGCUGUGCAUUUUGGCUCCUGGCUCAGGAAGCCUGGCUCUAGCUCUUUCAUCCUCACCAGCAAGUCACCUCUGAGCCUCAGCUUCCUCAUCUGUAAGAUGAAGUGAUGCUCUUAAAGAAGACCUAUGCCAUCAUCAGGCUUAAGCCAGACUAGAGUCAGGGCAGGCCCAUCCUCUCAUCUAGAGCCACAGAGGGAAAAAGCAGAAGGAUUUGAUCCAUAGAGUCUCACCAUCAUCUAGCCAGGAACAGUCCAUUCUGUUUUCCCAAUACUGGGUAUGUCAUCAUUUACUGAGAAGAUUAGCAUGCACACAGGAUUUUUUAAAGUGGGGUGUAAUGAAAUGGAUAUUUUAUUUAGGUAACAGGAAAACUGAAAAACCAAACUGGGGAUAUGUAGCAGGCAAUCGUUCAGUCCAGGGUUAAAGCGGAAUUGGGACUGAAAGAAAGAUGUGUGCUAGCUCUUCCCUCUGCCCACCCACCCACCCCUAAUCUCCUACCAGAGCCUCCCUGGUUCCCUUUGGUAGAAAGCAGAACAGAGGUAAGAGGAGCAUGGUCCUGAGUGCAAGUAGGAGUUUAACAGUAGGAGUUUAACCAAAAAGCCUUGAGGAAUUUGCAUUCUAAGGCAUUUUUGACAUUUAAAUUCCUCUACUUAGGAUCAGUAUUUUUAAUAAUCUCAAUGGAGUCAUUUUUUUCAUCAGACCUGACUUGAUUUGGCUGGUCUGGGUAUUUUAUGCUGAUUUUUGUCAAAGGCAUUUAUUAACUUGGGCAGUGACAAUAUGCCUUACAUAAUUCAGGGGAAGUACAGAUGAAACCAGUAUCGCAUGCGUGCCCUCUGCCAGGAGGUGCAGCAUUGCUGGUGGGAGUGAGCCUGCAUCAGGCCAUCUGGAUAGCAUGCAAGGGAGAAGGCUUUUGUAUUGGAAGUUGAGAAAUCUGGAUAAACUGGAACACUUAACUCACUGUUGUCUUGCUGCAGGUCUGUCCAGGAGGCCUGUCCUAGCAUUUCAUUCUUGGAUCAAUAUCAGAGUGCAGGCUAAUAAACCCAAAGAUUUCUUUCAUGUUGAUAAUACAUACCAAGAGCUGCAUAUCCACUUCCUUCAAAGAAAGUUCCUUCUUGGACCGCUGCAUAGCACCUAGUUACUGAAAAUGCAGACACUGGCCUUUCCUUGUCCAGCUGUUUGCCAUUGACUGUCACCUCCCCAAUGCAGGCAGGGACACUAUGGGUGAUCUAAAACAAAUGACAGGACAAUAGAUGCUCUAAGUAUAAUAAAAGUAUAAUGAGAAGGCCAGUUUUUCCUGUUUCACCAAAACAUUAAAAUAUUAGCUUUUGGUUUUUAAAAUCAGAUUUCCACAAUAGUCUACAUAAACAUCUAACUGAAAGAAAGCUAGUAGGAUUUGGCUUUCCGUAAAGGUGUUUUCUAUAAUUUGGGUUAAGUAGUGUGGAAUUCAAGAAUGCUGAGUUUUCUAAUCUGCAAAUACAAAUCCACUAGUUUUCCUGAAUUGUACCAGGGCUAAUGGCUGUGGAAAGGGAAAUGUUCAUUAACUAACAGGUAGAAAAGUCUGGCUGAGCUUCAAGGGCUUCUAAGGGGAAACCGAAACACAAAAUCUGGGGACAAGAUUUUAAAAGGUCUGUAUCACGCAGCCAAGCCCUAGUCUCAAACAAAAUAACUUAACAUUUUCCUUUACAAAAGAAAAAAGACAAAAACACAGCCACAAUAAAGGUAAAAUGGGCUGCAGAAAAAGCUGCUUACAUUCCCAAUGUUCCUGGCCCUGUAGUCAGAGGGAAGGCCUCCUAGGUACAGCUUUCCUUCCACAUCCAGCAUGGUCCCAUCUCCCACAGCAGUCACCGUGGGGGCCUCCUGGCCAUCGACCAUCAUGAAGCCCUUUCUUUUAAAGUGCUCUGUCUUGACCUAGAACAAAAUGAGAAUAUUCAGUUUUUAAGGAAUCUGAGAAAACAACAGAUAUUUGUUUGCAACAUCUCUUCAUUAUUGCUAUAAAUAGCCUGAAUGAGACCCUAAAGGAUGGCUCCAAUUUCCACACAGUUGGUGCUGAAGAGCCAAAGCCUGGCAGGAGAUGGGGCAGGCAGAGGUAAAGCACAUAUUAGAACAGGAAGUACUCCCAAGUCCUAGUUAUAAGAAAGCAAAUGCUGUGAUCUAGGGGUGGGCUCAUUCACCCCACAGGUGGGUUUGAUUUACUUCUCAUAAGUCGAGAACACUUUUGGAACCUUUCAUUCAUUCCACCACUGUCUGCUGAGUGCCUGUUAGGUGUCAGGCACCGAGCUAAGCCCUGGUCAUACUUCAGGAUUUCGCAAAGGUCCCAGCCUGCAAGGAUCUUACAUGCUGUAGGGUAGAUAGUACACACAAAGCAAGCUAUAUCAUUUUCAUGACUGUGAACUGGAUGGAAUAAAACUUAGCAUGAGUGAUUAAAAGCUUCCUGAGAGCAUACCGUGUGCCAUCUGCCAUCAUUGAUCAAUGCAGGGUGGGAAACUGUUGUUCUCCCUUUCCCAAGAUCAAACAGGAAGUGAAGGUAGCCCCCAUGCAGCUGGAGUGUGGCGUAAUCAACUUGGUUCUGAUGAGCCAUGUAGUAAAUCAGACCGCUGGAGGCGAAUGUUCGGAUACUUAGCUGAACUGAAAGCCUAGAAGAAAACAAGAGCUCGGCCCUCAGAAAGGAAUAAACUUUCACUUUUAAAAUUAACCUGAGAAAGAGAACCCAAUCAUUGUUUCAGUCUUUACAUUGAAAGGUCUCAGCAGAGAAUCAUUCAUUCAUCCAUCUGUUCAUCCAAUUAAUGGUUACCCUAUAUGUUUAAUUGCCAGGAACUGUUCUAAAGGCUAAGGCUGAAGCAGUGAACAUAGAGGAAUGUCCUUUCUCCUACAAAACUAAUACCAGAAAUCUAUCAGAUAAAACUGGGUCAAAAGAGGCAAACUGGUGGGUGGUUCUAUUAUGUAGGAAGGCAGGCAGGCAGCUCUGAAAAGAUGGUAUUUCCACUGAGCUCUGAAUGACAGGAGCAAGCCCUACAAAGCCCAGCAGGGUAGACCUGCCUUACGUUUUUGGACAGCACAGAGUAUGUGAAAACAAUGGCCUGAUUUGGCAGGACAGCCAGGAAUCCCCUAGCAGAGCUCUAGGGACACGGCAGCACACAGCAGUGGACAGAAGCUGGCAUCUGGGUGGCUGUUGCAGAAGGGAGCACAACAUCACCAAAGCACUCAGGGACAAGGAAAGGAGAGUGUGGCCCUGCCCUUGUGGAUGAGGGGCUCUGGGAGGCAGUAUUUCCAUCUCUACUGCAGUGGGGAGUCAGUCCUGAGGGGAAUGGGCAGGGCUUGACUGACCUCUUCAAAGGAACCUAUGCUGUGACGAAGCCCUGUAUGAGGCCAUGGGGCCAGCAGGCAUUAGCAGGCACCUGCUGCAACCAUCCACAGAGGCGGGGUCCUGGUGGCUUCAAUGGGGGUCUUAUGGGGGAUGCAGAGGGGAUGAACUAAUUCAUGAAAUGUUCUGGAAGAAGAAGCAAUAGGACCUGUACAUGGACUGAAUUUGCAGAGAGAGGGAAUGAAAAUAACCAUCUCUAGGUUAGGGUCCUAGGCAUCGAGAGAAAGGGUGCUGAUGUCUACUGAAAUAGCAAAGCUGGGACAGCAGGUUUAGAGGAAGACUGAAUUCUUUCUUGGUAUGUUGGUAUGGAGAAGCCAGUUGGGGAUACACCUCCACAGUCCUAAGCAGAGGUCAGGGCUAGACGUGUGGGUGCUGGUACAAAUAGAGGAUAUUUUAAAGCCACUGAAAUAUGGAAGUUCCCCUGAGAGAAAACACAGAAGAGGGCCGGGCCUUCUCUGAUCGAAGAGGAACCAGCAGAGGAGACCAAGCAGAGAAGGGCAGAGAGAGCAGGAAAUCAGGAGCGUGUGGGGCUAAGACAGCCAAGUACCUGUGAGAGUGCUGAGGUCCCAGCAAAGAAGGGCUCUCGGGAUGCGGGCACAGCAGGUCUGGGAUAACUGUGGCAAGAGCAAUCAAGAAGCGAGGGGAGGCUGACUGGGCUGGUGGAGAAGGACAAGAGGGGAGAAAGGCAGACUGCCACAGGAGCCAGCCUCCGUUUUUUUGUUUUUAAAUAAGGCAGUUCUUUCAAGAAGUCUUGAAAUAACAGCCAGGAUACUGUGCAGGUAGGGUGGGAUAUGGAGUCUCUCAGAGUUGAAGUUAGGAGCUACCAGAGGGAAUGGUUACCAGCAUAAACACAGUGUCUGGGUUUGAAUCCCAUUCUGCUGUGUGCCCUGAGCACGUGACUUGACUUGCCUGUGCCUCAGUUUCCUCAUCUAUAAAAGAGCAAAUAAAGAGCAUACCUUCCUCAUAGAAUAGUUAUGAGUCAGGGGGUACAGUUAAAUACUGAGGGACAAGGAUCUACUCCUCUUGUUAGCACUGAGGCUGCUGAGGGUGAUGGCUCAGAGAAGCGAUGGGCUCCAGAGGGCAGAGAGGGGACAAUAGGACCCCUCCUCUGUGGUAGGAGGGGAAGAGGUAUAAGGUGCAGACAAAGGCAGGCUUCUCUUUCUGGUAGUGGACAGAUGAGGGAGUUCUCUGUGUUCACUGAGGUGUCAUCGGCUGGGGCAAGAAGAGAGGCUGUGGGGAUUUUGAGUUUUGAGAUGAGAGAAGCUAUAAGGAGUAAAAAAAAAAGUGAACAUAUUCGAUAACAGUACCAGCUGCCCAUGUGAUUUGGGAGUUCCAUCUGAAUUCACUGGCUUCACGUCCAACCAGGGAGGGAAGAGAUACACACUUCUACAACCUUGACCACCAGUUUGGGUCCUGGCAUGGAUUAGCUAAGUAGCAGUUCUACCCAGGGCCAGUGUGCAAAGGAACACCAGUCAUAAAGGAAUUGGGACCAUCCGGGUCGGGGGUAAACUGUGCUGGGGGGCUGCAGGGAGUAGUGCUGAGAAAGCAUGAGGGCUUUGAGGUCUUGAUACAGUUGAGGAGCUGCUGGGAUGGGAAGCAGCAGAAAGGAGGUGGCGGCUGAUUAAUAGGAUGCUUCAGAUAGAGAUUUUGGAGGUGGGAUGGGUGUUUACAAAGUAGGGUAGAGGAUGACCAUGGGGAGAGGGUGGCUGAGGAAGACCCUCUAACAGGAGCCAGAGGAUUUGGAAGGUCAGAUGUGGAGCUGCUGAAUUCAUGGAGAAUGAUGGCCUGAGCUGUGGAACAAAGACGAUGGGUACAGUCUGAAGGGUUUGGAGAAGUGGACAAAUGUUGAAUGUGGGCUGGCUAAGCCAAGCAAGGGUCCCUGGGGACAAGUAGGUGUGAGGGCGAGAAGAACCGGGCAGAUUAGUAUAUGGCACCAAGGAGUUUGAGGGGUGCAGUGAGAAAGUUUGGGGGAAUAAUUUGAUCAGAUUAGUAAGUGCUUACAAUAGAGUAGGGUUGAAAAUCCAGAUGCUGAUAGAUCCAAAGAACUUGAGAUUCUAGAACAAGAGGAAUUUAGAGAGAGAACCUACCCAUGUGCUUUCCUAGAUUCAUACACAGGGGCAGCAACCCGCCUUCCUCAGAAGGGGUAAGAACAAACCACAGGGACUCCACUGAACCACAUCUGAAGCAUCGGUUGUGCACAAGGCCUGCAUUCCUGUUCUCUGCCUUCUCACCGCUGAGGAAUACCUCCCUGUUCAUCUCUCUGAGACGCCUAAUAAAGACUUCAGAACAAUACCCACCUCUUUCUGACAGCCAGCUGAUUGAAAGGCAACACGAAAUGGCUGCUUUGUGUGAGGCCAAACUGGUUUGCAUCUGCCAGGAAGUCAUGAAUUACACUUGCUCUCCUUCCCUUCACUCUGUAGCCCUUGCAACAUGUCCCGUUUAUAUGUACCCUCUUGGCACUUUCUGAGGACAUGGCUGUGAAUGGCACAGAAACAUUUCUGCCUUGUGGAUUUCCCAGCCUCAUCGCUUUCAGGAGGAAGAAGACGAAUCAAUUGUGUAUUCAUAAACAGAGAACUGGGUGAAUAAAUUAAUCAACUGUACAAAUGAGUAAACCAAGGCUCUGACAUUAGAAUUGUGCUGAAACCCAAUGUACUUUUAUUCUUUUACAUUUCAAGGACUCUUAAGAGGUUCUUUCACAGAGGACACGGUGACCCUCAAAGAUCCAAGUCCUUGUUUGAGGUCUCAAGGCAAAAUCAGCCACCCAGCUAGGAGGGGAACUUCAGCCUCCUGAUGCCCCCCGCAAACUCUGGUUCCAUACCCGCCCCCCCCCCCGACCCCCACAGAUCAGCAUAGCAUCUGACCCACCAGCACUCCUACCUACGCAGAGGAUGACUGAGGAAGAAAUAACUGCCUGUGGGCACAUGUCACUUCUCUUCCUCCUCAUGAGCUCCACAGAGGAAACAGACUAAGAGGAGUUCAUUAGACAGUCAUUGUUUUAGGAGGAACUGUUAAUAAUCUGAAGCUGUAAGGAGCCCAGCUAGAAAGGUUCCUUGAAAGCGGUGAACUCAAGACAACAAGAAACUUGCAUCACAAAAUCUCUGUUCCCUGGAAUUCAUGUCACAAGUGUAUUUGACCUCUGAGGUUUACUGAUAGUCCUAUAGAGCUAAUGUUCAAUGGUUUUUGUUUUGUUUUGUUUUUUUCUUGUUUUUUUAAUUCUAGGAUUACCAGAUCUAUCCAUCAUUCUAAUCCAGUAAAAUCCAUGUGGGUGACUAUUAUGAUAGAACAAUGGGGUUCACUUUUUAUUCAAAAACUUAGGAUUUUAGGCAAUCUCAAACAGCAGAGUUAGCAGAUCAUUGUCAGUACUCAGCAAUAAAAGAUUUCUAGGAAGUGCAGAAACAUGUUGACGCUCGGUUACACUUACUCCAUAU